AUUGAACGCUGGCGGCAGGCCUAACACAUGCAAGUCGAGCGGAUGAAGGGAGCUUGCUCCUGGAUUCAGCGGCGGACGGGUGAGUAAUGCCUAGGAAUCUGCCUGGUAUUGGGGGAUAACGUCCGGAAACGGGCGCUAAUACCGCAUACGUCCUGAGGGAGAAAGUGGGGGAUCUUCGGACCUCACGCUAUCAGAUGAGCCUAGGUCGGAUUGGCUAGUUGGUGGGGUAAAGGACUACCAAGGCGACGAUCCGUAACUGGUCUGAGAGGAUGAUCAGUCACACUGGAACUGAGAAACGGUACAGACACCUACGGGAGGCAGGAGUGGGGAAUAUUGGACAAUGGGCGAAAGACUGAGCCAGCCAUGCAGCGUGUGUGAAGAAGGUCUUCGGAUUGUAAAGCACUUUAAGUUGGGGGAAGGGAAGUAAGUUAAUACCUUGCUGGUUUGACGUUACCAACAGAAUAAGCACCGGCUAACUUCGUG
rnacentral:rRNA from 1 species